UGAUCCUCUUUGAGCCUUGGGUGACAGGAGCUGUACAGCAAGGAAAGGAAAGACCUGAAUCUCAAGACAAUGUACAAGGAUCAAAGCUAUAGAAAGAAGAAACAAAGCUAAGAUCUUGGAUCUUAGAUUAGCGCGCUUGGCAAGCAGAACGAGGAAAGAGACCAGGAUGACUCUUCAGUGGACAGCAGUGGCCUUCUUUCUCUAUGCAGAGAUAGCCGUCAACCUCAUCCUGUGUGUCCCAUUCAUAUCAGCACAGAGAUGGCGUUUGGUUUUCAAUUGGAGAAUAUGGAAAUGGUUAUCACCUUACUGUAACAAGUGCUUCUUCACCAUGAUCAUGGUUCUUAUGGUUCUUUUCCUCGAUGCUGCCCGCGAGGUGCACAAGUACUCAAGCCCGGAACCCAUGCAAGAAGCUAAGGUGAACUCCAAUCUCUUUGAACAUCUUCACAUGAGGCUCUUCAGAGCUCAGCGCAACCUCUACAUCUCAGGCUUCUCGCUCUUCCUGUGGCUUGUCAUGCAGCGGGUAAUCAUCUUGCUCAACCAGGUGGCCGUCUCUGUGGAGAACAAUGCAGGUCUUCAAGCGCAGAUGGAGAACACUGCCAAAGCGGCCAAACAGCAUCAAGAGCACAAUCGUGUACUCAAACAAACUCUCUUAGAUGAGGAAAAAGUCAUUUCAGAAAAGAAUCAGCAGCUGAAGCUUGAAGUUGAGAGCCUGUCCAGUCAGCUGAAGAUGGCAGAAGAAGGUAAGUAUUCUUGGCAACCUUUCCAGAAGCGGCAAAAGUACUCACACUCUGUACAGUAGAAGUAGAGAUACAUGUGUAAAAAAAAAAAUGACUCUCGUAAAAGCAAAAGUACUGAUUCAACUCCUUUCGUUAAAAAGUAAAAAGUACAGACUACAAAAAGUACAAAAUCAAAAAGUAAAAAUGAAUUUUUACUGACAAGUAUAAACUAUACCAGUGGUUCUCACUGGGGCCUCCAUUUUCUUAUUGUUGCAAAGUCUUGACCCACUUUUAUAGAUUUUUAAGAUUUUUUUUUUUUUUAAAUAGCCUCUGAAAACACAUGUACACUGUGUUAGAUUUUUUUAAUGCCAUUUCAAACGGGUUUGUUGUACCGCCAAAAGCAUAUUGCUUGACAUGACUUCCGUCAACCAAAGGGUGUGCUGCACUAUAUUUGUUUACAUAGUAAACUAGUGACUAGAGCUCAAGGAAGAAGUAUUUCUUGUUCUUGUGGUUUCCUACCAUUUUCCAUGUGGGAACUUCGUAAACCUCUGUACUGUACUGAAAAAAUCUAAAUAGGAAUACGUGUAUUUUUUUUGACUAGCUGUCUGCAACCUACGUUGUUGUUGGUUUUCAUAUUAGACUGAUAAUUUCUGAGCCCCAGACCCUCACGGUUUUUAGGCCAGCACAAGACACAACGCAUUUGCUACGAAUCAUACUUGGAGCAGACAAAAUUAAAGCAUUCACUUAAAUAGGGCCACGGAUGGGCAAUAUCUUGCUUCUCUGAAUCUGUUGCAUUCAUUGAUUCAUUUUCCAUACUGCUUAGCCUUACUAGGGUUGUGGGUGUGCUGGAGCCUAUCCCAACGGACUCUGGGCGAGAGGCGGGGAACACCCUGAACUGGUCACCAGCCAACAGCAGAGCACAUAGAAACAAACAGCCAUUCGCACUCACAUUCACACCUAUGGGCAAUUUAAAGUCUUCAGUUAACCUAUCAUGCCUGUUUUUAGGAUGUGGGAGGAAACCGGAGUAUCCGUAGAAAAUCCACGCAGGCAUGUGGAGAACAUGCAAACUCCACACAGGCGAGGCCGGAGCCCAGGUCCUCAGAACUGUGACUCAGAUCUGUGCACAAGUCCCACGCUGAAGUGGA